rnacentral:lncRNA from 1 species
AAACCCUCUACCGCUCCUCUUUCCUUUCUUAGAUCAGGUCUUUUCUGCCGCUUCUUGGGUGGAGUCGCUCGACAACCGGAGCCCUAAUCUUGGUGAAAGGACUGCAGAAUCCUUCAUGGUCAUAUGAUAUUUUCGUUUCUGUCUUAUGAGUAGAGGAUUGCUGAUUAAGAUUCCUCUGUUACUAAAUUUUUCGUAUAGUUUGUUGUUUGCUCGUAUAGUUGUAAUAGUCUCGGAGAUGUUAGCAACUUUGUCUCUUUACUAGACUUCGAUCAUGAUAAAGCUGUUGUUAGGAAGGUGCCCAAAAUAUCUGUAAGCUUUGAUAUCCCCUCUUCCAAAUGUCUCCAAUCAUGAUGUGUGAAUGAAACCUAAAUGCUUAAUACAAGUCCAAAUGAGUAACGAGCACCACACAAAUGCAUGAUUCAAAUUCAUAUAUACAUUUCUUUUUUUUUUUGCAAAGGGGAUAAGUGGCGAAGGGGAUUUGAGCCCCGAACCUUCCGAUAAAUGGUUAGAGUCUUUACCCGCUAGGUUAGCUAACACCUUCCUGCAACAGUAGAAAUAUAUCGGAUGAGAUUUGAAACCUUUAACCUUUGGUAAAUGGGUUUGGUACACUGCCACCAGGCCAAUGUUUAAGGUAUUCAAAUUCAUAACUUGCUUUGAUAUUACGAUAAGUGUAUUUUCUAAGUACCAAAUGCUUAAGUUGUUAGGCAAGUGCUCAAUAUAUUUAGAAGUUUUAAUGGAUUAAAUAUUGGUAAUUAAGAUUCCAAUGGUACUGAGUUAUUAUAUGUGUAGUUUCUUCAUUUGCUCAUAUAGUUUUGAGACAGAUCAGAAGGCUUACCUGUACAAUUGAAAGGAAAGAGAGACCAAAAAAAGGAGAAAAUGGAAGGGGGAAAGAAAGGUGAUCAUUUUUUCCGGAUCAGUUGGUCAGUAGGAUCAAAGAUGAAAGUAUUGCUUGCAAGGCUGUGGCAUGGGCUUUCUUGUCUGUGACUUGCUGACUUGUAGGUAACAUGUCAUGACAUGUCUGAGAAUAGAAUCUCACUGUGGCAUGCCUUUAUUGAACGCUUGUUGAGCUACACACCUAUUGUUUGGGUUCUGUCUCCAUUUUGGCCUUUGGUAUUUACUUUGAGCCUUCCUUUAGAUUUAUAGUCUCAGAUUUAUCUUCUAUGACAAUAUUGUCAUAUGCAAAAGUUAAUUCUGUUGAGAAGGAAAGAAAGAGGUAGGUCAAAUGUGAAGUUGACUAUGAGGAAAUAUAUACUUACUUCCACAUAUUAACAAUGAGUUAAUGCAUUUUGCAUAGUUGCAUCUCUUUGAUGGAUUUAUUAAUAGUAAGUUCCUAAGCUCAUCUCUAGUUAGACUCUUUGGAUGGUGAUAUUUGUAUUUCUUGGGGUGUCAUUGAGGUCAAGCAGGUGUCAUUGAGGUCAAGCAGAAAGCAGUAGGGUUCCUUUAGGAAGAUAAAUAUAUUGUAUGUCCCUUCCAUGAUUUACCAUAAAGAGCACAUUUUGCCUGUUCGUAUGGCCUAUUACCUAAUUGUUUUUUCUCCAAGUAUUUGGCUCAAAAUGCAUUGUCAGAGCUACAUACACAAUGCUGCUCAUUGCUGAACUUGCCUGCCUUUGAACUGCUUAAAAUGCAAGAUGUGCUUUGCUUUGCAUAGAUUUGCCUCAUCUGUUGUUGCAGAACACUUUGCUUACAGGAGUCCGUAUUACAUUCCUGAGAAAUGUUCUAUUUACUGAGUUAAAUUCGGAAAGAAAAAGGAAGAAACAAUGUGAAGGGAAGAAGAAACAGAUGAAGCUUCUGGGUAAGAACAAGUCUCAUCCAUAAUUGCCUUCUGCAAUCAGUUUUAAGUGACUGGUCACCAAAUUAGGUUGGCUUUUACAUUCUAAAUGAAUUGAAAUGUUGUGAUAGAGAGAGACAGAGAGAGAGAGAGAGAAAGAGAGAGAUGGUCCAACAGCUCUUGGCCGACAGACCCAUCAUGGCCGGCGGUGGCGAGCAGAGCUGUGCCUGCUUUGUCGGCCUGCAAAGCCAAGCGAGAAGGUAUCCCCACAGGUUGAUGCAGACACCACAGAAUAAAAUGCCACCGUCUUCAUCCAUGCAUAUCAGUAUCCACUUCUAUAUUAUUUGCUGGUCUGGAUGUUGAGUCAAGCGCAUGCAUGUACUAAAUUUCAUGCAUGUUUUCCCAGGUCAAUCAUGCAUCUGCAUUCUUUCAUUUCUUUAUAGGCAUCACUUUAUAUCACCAUGUUAUCAAUGAGAAGAAUGAGGUUGAUAAGAUAAGAACAUCCUAUACCAUAAUCCUUAUUAUUCCCUGUAUGAUUAAUAGUACAGGAGGCAGCAUGAUGAUACCAAUACAUGAAAAGAAGGAACAAUGGAUUGUAGACAGAGAAAAAAAGAGAAGACAUGUGAUGCAUGUUUUCAACGAGAAGAACGAGGUUGUCAAGAGAGAUAUAAUGCUUACUACCCAUUAUUACUUAUAAAUUAAUAACAUGUGAUGCAUCAUGAUGAAAAAGAAAAAGGAAGAAGAUGAGAUUAUUAUUAUUAUUAUUAUUUUUUCCUUUGGUAUAGGAUAGAGUUAGUUGACAUCUUCUAGGCUUAUCGGAUGAGGUUUCCAACUUUAGAUCUUAUCAUCCUCUUAAAAUUUUAGAUAUACGAGUUAAAAUGUAUCAAGAUGAGCUUAAUUUGUUGUAAUUUGCAAAUCAUAUGCAAAUUAUAAGGUAUUUGCUUCUAUGAUUAGGGAUAAAAAAUCUGAAGUUUAAUAGGUCUCAUCAAAUCUUUGUAUGGUUGAGAGAGACAGAGAGAGCAAUUAUGAGAGGUAAACAACCUCAAAUAACUUAAUAUUUUAAUCGGUAUAUAUAUAUAUCAUGAAUUAAGCAUGCAUAUAAUGCUAAUUCUAUACCUAACAAUCAAACAUCUGAUUUAUGUUUUGUUUGGAGGUUCAAUUGCCUCCUAAUCCUAUUCUUUUUUACUUUCUUGGACGUGUUAUAUCAUUCAAAUGUUUCCUUUUCGACUUUAUUGGACGUUGCAAUUUUCUUUUCAUGUAAGCUCAAUUUUAAAUAAAUAGGAUAUUACGACUUGUUGUUGUUGAAUAUGAUCAACAUCAUGAUGAACAUCAAAGGAACAAGAAAAGACAACUCAAGUAGUUUUUUGUCUUGAAAUUUGAAUACAAGGGAACAUGUUGGCAAUGUCAUGACCAUAAUUGGGAUUUCACAAAGAUGUGG